GAAUAGCAAAACCGAUAUUGUUUAGCCAUGAAAAAGUGUUCCUACAAAACGCACAUACAAAGCAUAAUGUAAACAAUUGUACAUAUGAAUAAGGCAUAUGAUCAUUCAGCGUUAUUACCUUAUAUAAAUAUAAAAAAGAGCUGGAAAACACACAAGAAUUUGCAAUCCAAUCGCUGGUUCCAAAGCGGAGCGAACCUAUGAAUAUGCAUAUAUGCCCCGCCCAUUGGGACAGUUUUUCACGGGGACAGAAUUUCACACAACACCGGCUUCACAGCUCCGUCUUCAGUUCCUCCCUCGACUGCAAGCGGCAAACCUCGCCGAUCGGUCUGCGCAGCGCCGGAUGAUCUCGAACACACCUAUUUUGUUGCACGUUUUGCCACUCAACCGGGCGAGCUCUCGCGUGGACACGUGGAAAAGUGACGUCAAGGCAUACCCUCUAUUUGACUCGAAGUAGACCACCCCAGCUGGCGCGGGACACUGUUCAAUUAUUUCCUGUGACGUGGCUGCUUAGGCGUUUUGAUAAAUCACAGCUGUUAUUCAUCAACAACUAGCAAAACCAACAUCUUUUAGACUUUUUAAACACAUUUUAAAGUAUAUUAUGAAAAAAAACUUUCAUUAUUCUCUUACAUAUCCGUUCAUAAAUUUAGAGGAAUAUUACAUUAAAAUUUUAAUAGAUUGUGGUCCCUUCCUGUUUAGCAAUGUGUGUUUAUAUUAAAGCUAAAACAAACGUUUGUCUUUAUAAAAUACAUUUCAUGAAGUUUAAGUUGGCGAUUUUUGGUUGGAGGGCUUCAGAAAAGGUCACUUGAUUUCCGGAAAGGUGUCGGAAGACAUUGGCUGUACCCAAAAGCCCUAAAAUGCUGCCUUGUUGUGCAGUCUGUCCCGUUUUCUGCUUUAGCUGAUAAAACGUCUGUCUGGCGAAUGCCGUGUUUACCUGAGGCACAAAGUAUGCAUUCAGUGCUGUUACUACUCGCACGUAAUCUGCGAGACACCCCUCGCUGCAGCCUGCAGCGCGAUGACGUGGUGGAUUAAUCCAAUACGUAGUGGAUGUUCAAACACGCAUGCGCGGUGGUGUGUUGUUGUUGGUGAACAAUCGCACGUGCUUUGGUAUUUCAAGAAGAAUCUGCCGAUGGAAAAACGAUGGAUUAUUUAACAACAGUGAUUGUAUAAAGAUUUGACUGGAUUUGGCAAGAUGCCCUUGCUCAUUAAAGAAGAUGGAGAUGUGGCUUUCCUCAGACUGUCUCUGACAUGCCAGCUUUUUCACCAUGUUCUUAGUGAAGCAUGUUUCAGAGAAAAGGCUCAUGUUGUCUGGCUUGACAGUGUUGUCAACUGUAACACAUUCUCCAUGGUGUAGAGAUUUAUUUACAGAUUGUCCACCUGGUCGAGUUGGAGGAAGGGUGUCCCAGGGACGAAUUGUUCAUCUAUUCUAAAGCAGUGGUGGCGUGGCACUGACCUUAAAGUAUUUAAGAUCAAACUGUGACAAAAGCUUUACCUGACCUGACUGCAGUCAGUUAUAUGUGACCCUGCCUGUGAAAAAACAGGAUAAGUCUUGAAAUGUAAUUAUGAUAUAAUGAGCAUCAAAGUGUUAGUUUCAUUAAUCUCACAUUGAUUUUGAUAUUUGACAUGAUUUUACUCAGUCAACCCCACACACCCAGACAACACUUUCUUUGAACUUUUGCCCUUUGGUGCUACAGAGCACUGAAUACUAGACACAACAACAGUUUGUUCCUCAGGCUAAAACCUAAACAAUUAAAGCACCCAUAACUUCCACACCUGUCAUAACUGUAUAUUGUUUAUAAUCACCACAUACUGUACAUCUGUAAAUACUAUUCUAAACUGUACUUAUCUAUCUGUACAAUAACAGCAUCUUAACAUCCAUACAUGCAUCACUACACACAAUUGUAAAAAGGAGAAAAUAUAUAUACAUAUACUUACUGUACCAUACUGCUUAUUUAAAUUAUUUUUGUUUUUAUAUGACUAGUGUGUUAUUGUCUUUCAUUUUACUUAGUUAUUCUAUGUAUGUCCGUAACAUGUCACCAAGAGAAAUUCCUUGUAUGUGAGAAAAACAUACUUGGCAAUAAAGCAGAUUCUGAUUCAAUAUUAAAGAUAUCAAGGUUAUAAUUUUACAGAAUGUUGUUUACAUUAUGUAGGAUGAGUUAAUGUAGAAACUCACUCACAGAAAGAUGACUAUAGCUGGGUUUUCACUAAGUUAAU